rnacentral:rRNA from 1 species
GGGCCCGCACAAGCGGUGGAGCAUGUGGUUUAAUUCGAUGAUACGCGAGGAACCUUACCAGGGCUUAAAUGUAAGUUGCAUAAGCUAGAGAUAGCUUUUUCUUCGGACUACUUACAAGGUGCUGCAUGGUUGUCGUCAGCUCGUGCCGUGAGGUGUCAGGUUAAGUCCUAUAACGAGCGCAACCCCUGUUGUUAGUUGCCAUCGAGUAAUGUCGGGAACUCUAACAAGACUGCCGGUGCAAACCGUGAGGAAGGUGGGGAUGACGUCAAAUCAUCACGGCCCUUACGUCCUGGGCUACACACGUGCUACAAUGGCCGGUACAGACGGCCGCUAACCCGCGAGGGGGAGCUAAUCCGACAAACCUAGUCGUAGUCCGGAUCGGAGUCUGCAACUCGGCCCCGUG